rnacentral:rRNA from 1 species
GACGGAAGGUGCAAGCGUUGCUCGGAAUCACUGGGCGUAAAGGGUGCGUAGGCGGCUUGGUAAGUUGGGUGUGAAAGCCCCGGGCUCAGCCCGGGAAGGGCACUCGAAACUGCCGAGCUGGAGUGCCGGAGGGGAGAGUGGAAUUCCUGGUGUAGCGGUGAAAUGCGCAGAUAUCAGGAGGAACACCGGUGGCGAAGGCGGGUCUCUGGGCCGAUACUGACGCUGAGGAGCGAAAGUGUGGGGAGCGAACAGG